rnacentral:rRNA from 1 species
GAUGAACGCUGGCGGCGUGCCUAAUACAUGCCAGUCGAGCGAGCGGACGAGAAGCUUGCUUCUCUGAUGUUAGCGGCGGACGGGUGAGUAACACGUGGAUAACCUACCUAUAAGACUGGGAUAACUUCGGGAAACCGUAGCUAAUACCGGAUAAUAUUUUGAACCGCAUGGUUCAAAAGUGAAAGACGGUCUUGCUGUCACUUAUAGAUGGAUCCGCGCUGCAUUAGCUAGUUGGUAAGGUAACGGCUUACCAAGGCAACGAUGCAUAGCCGACCUGAGAGGGUGAUCGGCCACACUGGAACUGAGACACGGUCCAGACUCCUACGGGAGGCAGCAGUAGGGAAUCUUCCGCAAUGGGCGAAAGCCUGACGGAGCAACGCCGCGUGAGUGAUGAAGGUCUUCGGAUCGUAAAACUCUGUUAUUAGGGAAGAACAUAUGUGUAAGUAACUGUGCACAUCUUGACGGUACCUAAUCAGAAAGCCACGGCUAACUACGUG